GAGCCAAUGAACUCAGCACAAAGUGGGAAGUGGAUCUUGGACUUCCUAUCCUAGUUUGAGUCCAUUUAAUGUUAUCACCUACAUCAAGACCAGUACCUUCUGAACAAGUACAGGUCUAUAGAAAUAAUGAGUCACUGCUGCAGAUCUUGCAGAUGAUGCAAAGCCAGAAAGGAAUGGAACUACUCAGGUGCUGCCUGACCUGCUGAGUAUUUCGACUUGCUAAUUCAGACUUCCACCAUCCAUAGAUUUUGUUUUUGCAUCUUAAAUUGCACUUGAGUUUCCUGAUUUCAGCUGGGACAGUAAAUGGGCCACUUGCACUGCAUCAAAAGUGGGGCGAGAAAAACCAUCCACAUUUUCCUUUGUUUCUAUUGCGUUUCAAAACUCUGAGAAGGAUGGAAGAUUGGGACGCUACCUGGAAAACCUGGAAGGGAGCUGGACCUUGUCUUUCCAAUGCCAUUGGCUGAUGAUGGGUGGGAAAAUCCUGGACAAGAUUACAGGGAACGCAGGGCUUUCUAUUGAUCCUUCCUGAAGAGCACUAUCAAAGCAACGUUAGCUGAUUAUUCCCAUACCUGACUAAAAGUCAAUCUCUUGUGCAGCAGGAGUGGAAAGUCACUGUUCGACAAGACAGAUUGUUUGAGCUCUUUUGCUUGCUCUUGAUGAAAGUUAAGUUAUGAUAUGGAAACAUGACCUCAGGACAUCUCUUUUGAAGUGAAAUCACAACUGUAAUACAGGACAUGUGGCAGCCAAUUUGUGCACAGCACAUGACCAAAUACAAGUAAAGAUACACGAAUGCUGGAAAUCUCUGGUUGUUUCAUGCAGAGAUUUUUUUUAUUUAUCAGAAGUCAUGGACCUGAAAGAUCCUGACACGCUCCUAAAGGUAUGGUUUCCUAGCUGACAGAUCAUUCCACCUAUGCCGUGGCCAUUGCUCACCUGCGAGCUUUAUAUCAGCAGGCUUGUCAAGCACACAGCAUCUCAGCGGAACCUGCAGCUGAUGUCCACACGAAAAGCACAUUUCCAGCAGAGUUUGUUGGUCAACAAUUAGGAUUGGAAACUAAGAUGCUGUUUUUGGCCAUCUUUUUCCAAACAAAGGCUAAUUUAUCUUUGAUUCUCCUAACUGAGAUCAGCAAAA